GUUGGGGGCGGAUGGGGGCGGCUGCGGUGCCCCGGGGGGGGAUGGGGGGCGGUGGGGGUGGAAAUGACCGUCACUUCCUGCAGUGCUUCCGGGACCUGUGGGAAAUGGGGGGUUGGGGGGAGGGGAUUGGGGGGGAAAUUGGGGAAAUUGGGGGGAAAUUGGGGAAAAUUGGGGAAAAUGGAGGGAAAUUCAGUGAAAUGUUGGAGGAAAUUGGGGGAAAUGAGGGAGAAUUUGGGGGAAAUUGGGGGAAAUGGGGGAGAAAUUGGGGGAAAUUGAGGGGAAAUUGGGGGUAAUUGGGGGAGAUAGGGGGAAAAUGGGGAAAAUAUGGGGAAAAUAUGGGGAAAACGGAGGGAAAUUCAGUGAAAUGUUGGAGAAAAUUGGGGGAAAAGAGGGGGUGGGGAAAAUUGGGGGAAAUGGGGGAGAAAUGGGAGGAAAUUGGGGGGAAAUUGAGGGGAAAUUGGGGAAAAUAUGGGGAAAAUAUGGGGAAAAUGGAGGGAAGUUUGGUGAAAUGAAGGAGAAAAUUGGGGGAAAAGAGGGGGUGGGGAAAAUUGGGGGAUAUGGGGGAGAAUUUGGGGGAAAUUGGGGGAAAUUGAGGGGAAAUUGGGGAAAACAGAGGGAAAUUCAGCGAAAUGUAGGAGAAAAUUGGGGGAAAUUAGGGAGAAAUUGGGGGAAAUGGGGGUAAAUUGGGGGAAAUGGAGGGGUAAUUGGGGGGAAGUGGGAGAAAUUGGGGGGAAUUUUGGAAGAAUUGGGGGGAAAUGGAGGAAAAUGGAAUAAUAGGUGAAAAAAUGAAGAAUUGGGGGAAAACUGCAGUGAAAAUGGGGGAAAUUGGGGAAAGUGUUGAAAAUUUGGGGAAGAAGUGGAGAAAUCGGGGAGAAAAUGGGAAAAUUUGGGGAAAAUUGGAAAAUCGGGGGUGAAAAUGGGAUAAAAAUGGAAAAUUGGGGGAAAAAUGGGGGGAAAUGGAGGGGGCGGAACGGCUCCAUAGGGACCAAUGGGGGAAUGCAACGCGCAAUUAAAGUGGGAUCGUAAUUAAUUAAGGGAAAUCACAUCGAAAUUCAUUAAAAAAAUCCGAAUUAAGGGAAAUGAAAUCAGAACUAAUCAAAAUGAAUCAAAAUUAGGGGGAAAUCGAAUCAAAGUUCGUUAAAAAAAUCAAAGUUAAGGAAAAUCGGAUUGAAAUUAAAUAAUGCGAAAUUGAAAUGGGGGAAAAUUGAAACCAAAUUAAGGAACGAAAGCGAUGGAAAAUCCCAUCUGGGAAUUAAAACAUAUGGAAAAUGAAAUCGAAAUAAAAACCGAACCGAAACGAAAAUGAAAUCGAAAUGAAGGGGGAAUUAAAUUUAAAAAAAUGAAAUAAAAAUGGAAAAAAAUCCGAAAAUAAAAUCGAAAUUAAAAAAUGAGAAUCGAAGGAAGAAAAUGGAAAUUUAAAAAAGGGAAUGAAUUUAAAAAAAUGGAAUGAAAAUUUAAGAAAAAAAACCCCCACAUUUGGGGGAAAUAAAAUUAAAAGAUAAAAACGAAAAACGAAAAAUUCGAAGGAAAUCGGAAUCGAAAAAAUUGAAAGAAAAAUUGAAAUUGAAAUUAAAAAAAAUGGAACUGAAGGGAAAAUGGGAUCGAAAUUAAAAAUCAGAGCGGGGAAAACUGAAUCCGAAAUCGGAGAAAUUCCGUCACAUUUUGGAGGAAAUUGCGAAGAAAUGGGAACAAAAUCGAGGAAAAAAUCGAAAUUUGGGGGAAAAAUCGAAAAUUUAGGGGAAAAAUCGAAAUUUUGGGGAAAAAAUCAAAAUUUUUCCGGAAAAAAAUCGGAAUUUUCAAAAAUCGGAAUUUUCAAACAAUGGCAAUUUUGAAAAUGGGUCAGAAUUUGGAGAGAUGGACUCAAAAUUGAGGGGGGGGGGAAUAAACCCCAAUGGGGGCGAAAGGAAAUUAAGGGGAGAAAAUGGAACUUCGGGAGGAAUGAAUGGGGAAAAAAAAAACCCGAAACGAACCCCAAAAUGGGAAUUUUCAGAAGGAAACGAUUGGAGGGAAAGGGACGAAAAUGGGGACGGAGGGAAAGGGCGCAAAGAGAGACGGGGGGGGGGGGGGGGGGCACAGAGAGCCGCGCAGCGAUCCGCGCAAAUUUCCGCGCAGUUUUCCGCGCAAAGUCGGGCGCCCGGUUGGGGUUCGGCGCAAAUUUCCGCGCAGUUUCGGCGCAGUUUCGGCGCAGUGGACGCGCAGCGCUGUUACCUGCGCGGAUCCCGUCGCCAUUCCCGUCCCGUUGCGUUGCGCUGCGCUCC
rnacentral:lncRNA from 7 species